AGAGUUUGAUUAUGGCUCAGGAUGAACGCUGGCGGCGUGCUUAACACAUGCAAGUCGAACGGGAAACCUUUUAUUGAAGCUUCGGCAGAUUUAGAUUGUUUCUAGUGGCGGACGGGUGAGUAACGCGUGGGUAACCUGCCUUAUACAGGGGGAUAACAGUCAGAAAUGACUGCUAAUACCGCAUAAGCGCACAGAGCUGCAUGGCUCGGUGUGAAAAACUCCGGUGGUAUAAGAUGGACCCGCGUUGGAUUAGCUGGUUGGUGAGGUAACGGCCCACCAAGGCGACGAUCCAUAGCCGGCCUGAGAGGGUGAACGGCCACAUUGGGACUGAGACACGGCCCAG
rnacentral:rRNA from 1 species